rnacentral:rRNA from 1 species
GUUAGCGAUACGUGGCGAGGUUAACCCGUGUGGGGUAGCCGUAGCGAAAGCGAGUCUGAAUAGGGCGAUUCAGUCGCGUGUCCUAGACCCGAAGCGAAGUGAUCUAUCCAUGGCCAGGUUGAAGCGACGGUAAGACGUCGUGGAGGACCGAACCCACUUAGGUUGAAAACUGAGGGGAUGAGCUGUGGAUAGGGGUGAAAGGCCAAUCAAACUUCGUGAUAGCUGGUUCUCUCCGAAAUGCAUUUAGGUGCAGCGUUGCGUGUUUCUUGCCGGAG